rnacentral:rRNA from 1 species
GACGAACGCUGGCGGCGUGCUUAACACAUGCAAGUCGAACGAAGUGGCGAACGGGUGAGUAACGCGUAAUCAACCUGCCCUUCAGAGGGGGACAACAGUUGGAAACGACUGCUAAUACCGCAUACUGAAGGAGGGGGUUGCGGUGGAAUAGCUAGUUGGAGAGGUAACGGCUCACCAAGGCGAUGAUGGGUAGCCGGACUGAGAGUGUGAUCGGCCACAAGGGGAUUGGGACACGGCCCUUACGCCUACGGGAGUCAGCAGUGGGGAAUAGUGGACAAGGGACCAAAGUCUGAUCAAGCAAUUCUGUGUGCACGAUGAAGUUUUUCGGAAUGUAAAGUGCUUUCAGUUGGGAAGCGGUACCAACAGAAGAAGUGACGGCUAAAUACGUGCCAGCAGCCGCGGUAAUAC